UCCUAAUUUAUAAAACUUAGUUAAAGUGAUGUUUUAAGUGUUCAAUUGUGUAGUGGUUAUAUUGAAUGAAAACUUAGAAAUUCCUACAAGGUUUCUAAAUUAAGCUUUCAAAGUAAAAACAAUGUUGAUUAUGCAACUAUGUAGCCUGAUUAUAUAACUAAGGUGGGGCUAAAAAUAUGUGGUUAUCGUACAUGAUUGAACAUGUGUAUCACAUCAUGUGUGUAGGAUAGUUGGGUUAUGUACCAAGUGUGUAGAACUAAUGUGUAUAUAUAUACAUAAAUAUGAUAAUAGGACUUUGAGUUGACAAUAAG
rnacentral:lncRNA from 1 species